rnacentral:rRNA from 1 species
UGCAGUCGAACGAUGAACCAGGUGCUUGCACUUGGGGAUUAGUGGCGAACGGGUGAGUAACACGUGAGCAACCUGCCCCUCACUCUGGGAUAAGCGCUGGAAACGGCGUCUAAUACUGGAUACGAGUCGCAACCGCAUGGUUAGUGACUGGAAAGAUUUUUUGGUGGGGGAUGGGCUCGCGGCCUAUCAGCUUGUUGGUGAGGUAAUGGCUCACCAAGGCGUCGACGGGUAGCCGGCCUGAGAGGGUGACCGGCCACACUGGGACUGAGACACGGCCCAGACUCCUACGGGAGGCAGCAGUGGGGAAUAUUGCACAAUGGGCGGAAGCCUGAUGCAGCAACGCCGCGUGAGGGAUGACGGCCUUCGGGUUGUAAACCUCUUUUAGCAGGGAAGAAGCGUGAGUGACGGUACCUGCAGAAAAAGCGCCGGCUAACUACGUGCCAGCAGC